GGCCGCGCUGAGAGUCACGUGGUGCGCCAGGAAGCCGCCUAGCUUCUUGGAGAGCUCACUGCCUCGCUCCGCUCCUUUCCUGGCGGGAGGCUCUGAGCCACCCCCACCUGCGCAGGGCGGCCAGGGGUUAAAACAAAGUCACAAGUCUGACCCACACUCAAAGGGAGAAGAUUAUGCAAGAGCAAAAGCACGAGAUGGAAACCAUGGGGCCAUCUUAUAGUCUGUCUGCCGGAGAAAGAUGAACACAAAUCCUGCCUAGCUUCAUCAAUGUCCAGCCUCCAGAGGGCCUUCCCAGGAGGGUAGGCAUUAAUGCAAGCAAGUGGUGGUCUGCAUAGCUGAGCAGAGUCUGCUGUGUUUCUGAUAAAUUGUGAAGAGCCAUAGACCUUUGCCUAAUGAAGGGCCUCAAGCUCCUGCUGGACAUUGUAAACUGCUAGGAGAAGCUGAGUGAAUAUUAUCAAAUGCCUUAACAAGUGGAGUUGAGGCACCAUGAUCCAUAAGAGAUGAUGUGAAUGAACAGUCCUGUAAAUGUGAGAGGAGCCCUGCCCCACUCCUUCCCAGAAGCAGCCGGCUACCUGAGUGCUUCCUGAGAUGUCUGUCUGCUUGUCACGAAGAGGAAGUCAGAACAUCCUUACUCUAAAUAACAUUGCAAUUUUGCAGAUAGGUGUGAGAUACGAUUUCUAGCAUUUUCCAAAUUCUUCUGCCUGGAAAACAAAGCCUGUUUGCAACUAUUUGGACGUAUUUAAGAGUAAUUUUUCCACUUGGGUUUGUUUGUUAAUUUGGAAUAUUUCUGACAAAUAGCGUUCUGUGUGAUGAUGGACAUGUCCUGUAUCUGUGCUGUGCAACACAAUCACCGCUAGACAUGUAGCCAUUGAGCACUUGAAUUGUGUGUUCUGUAACUGAGGAAUUUCAUGUUUAAUUGUAUAUAGUCUUAAGUACUUUAUUAAUAGACCCAUAGUUGUUGCUCUAGGUAAGGUGGAAUAAGCAUGUAUAUCCCUGUUCUCCCAGUAUAUGUAGCUAUAAAAUCCAGACAGAAAGAAGCUAUUCAAGGACUCUGAAAAGUAACUAGAAAUAAUUUGCAAGAGAACAGCAUUCGAAUUAUCAAACCAUUGGUACAUUUACUGUUUUUUAUCUCCAGUAUUCCUCAGCAAUGACAGAAGUGAGCACUGGGACAGAGAGAGAGUUCCAGGAGAAAUCCUCUAGUCUAGCAUGAAGAGUGAGAAAAGGGUCUCGCAAUGCUUGAGUGUGGGGAGAGAAAUACCCUGACUUUUAUUUCUGUUUUCCUGUGCCCAGCCUGCAGUGGCCCAAGAGCUUUUCUCUCUGAUCAGAGAGCAAUGGCACCAACAGGUAGGGGUAAUCAUCCAUUAAACUUUGUCCUCUUGCUGGCUGGUGCUGGACUUGAGCACAGCUGCAGAAAGUGAGCAGCAGAGUGAGGAAACAAAACUUCCAUCUUUCUGUUCAGAAGACUAAAAAGAGGAUCUCGAGAAAAUGAUAAAGUAAUGGCAUGAAUGUGGAGAGGAAGGAAUGCACGAAAUCUACAUAACAAAGUUGUUUAUAAACUCCUAGGCUCCACUCUGAGCUGCACUUGCAUGAACCUGACAUACACAGAUUCUGAGAACUAAACUAUAGGAUAGACCACUGCCCAUGUCCCAGAUUGGCUAGUGAUGGGGACCACAUAGGGAAUAUUCAAAUAGCACUGCAAAGGCAUUGCCAUCAAAGCCCAAAUCCACAGAAAGUUAGUCAAAACUUGUGGCCUGAGCAAAAUUGGGUGGAUUGCCUGCUAAAACAAAAUUAUCAGUAUUGUCUAUAGGAUAUAAACAAGAGCCAGUAUCUAAUAACAUAACAUUAAAAAUGUUGAAGAUACAAUUCGAAAUCACUCACCAGGAAACUUGGAAUUUAUGUGGAAAAAGGUAAUUUAAAAAAAGACAAUGCCAAGAUGACACAGGUAUUGAAAUUUUCUAAAAAAGACUUUAAAGCAGCUAUUAUAAAAAUCCUUCAGAAAUAAGAGGAAACACUCUUCUAAUGAACAGAAUUAGAAAAUACAAAGGAGAAUCAAAUUGAAAUUUUUAAACUGAAACACGAUAACUGAAAUUAAAAACUCACUGGAUGGGCUCAAUAGGCAAACAAAAAUGACAAAGAAGAGUCAGUGAGCUUCACCAUAGUUCAGCAAAAAUUGUCCAGUUAAAACAACAGAAGGAAACAAAGAUUGACCAAAAAACAAUGAAUAAAGUCACAGAAAACCAUUGGACAGUACCAAUAGCUCUAAUGAUUCCAGAAGGAGAGGAGAGGGAAUGCAGAAGGCAGUACACAUACACGUAUAUGUGCGCAUGCGCACGCACACACACAAAUAUAUUAGCUGAAAAUUUUACAAAUUUAGCAAAAAAUAUGAACCUACGGGUUGGAGAAGCUUAUGAUCUCUAAACAAAAGCCUCCACUCUUCAUAACGGCAAAGUCAUGGAAUCAACCUAAGUGUCCAUCAACAGUUAACUGGAUAAACAAAAUGUUCUAUGUAACUGUAAACAAAAAUGAAAUCCCAUCAUAAAGCUGAUACUCCUUAUAAUCAAGACAGUUAUUAAGAAUCUAGGUUUAAAAUAUAUAAAUCUAGGUUUAUUCAUGAAAUUCAACCUCACUUGGUUUCCUUUAUCAGCUUAUUAUUGGUUUUAAUUUCCCUGCCCAGUAAUCCCAUCACUGUAUUUUAACUUCUUUUUCCUGCUACCCAUUGCUGGAGAUAGGGGAUGGGGGGCAGCCAGCCAAGUGUGGAAUGCAGCAAAACCAUUCAGAGUAGACAAAAUUGACAAAAAUUGUGAAAGCAAAUAAUGUGACAGCCUCAGAAUCCUGACCUUUAGAACUUGAAACCAAUAAACAUGAGUUCUUUUGUAUUAUGGGUAAAAAAAAGAAAUGUUGUUGUAUAUAUACACCAUGCAAUACUAUGCAACCCUAAAUGGAAGGAAAUUAUGUCCUUUGCAGCAACAUGGAUAGAGCUAGAGGCCAUUAUCCUGAGUGAACUAACUCAGAAACAGAAAAUCAACUACCACAGGUUCUCACGUAUAAGUGGGAGCUAAACAGGAGGUAUAUAUAGUGAUAUGGUUUGUCUGUGUCCCCACCCAAAUCUCAUCUUGAAUUGUAGCUGCUGUAACUCCCCCAUAUGGUGGAAGUGACCUAGUGGGAGAGAAGCGCAUGAUGGGGGCAGUUCCCUUCACACUGUUCCAGUGGUAGUGAAUAUGUCUCAUGAGAUCUGAUGGUUUUAUAAAUGGGAGUUCCUCUGCACAAGCUCUCUCUUGCCCACCACCAUGUAAGAAGUCCCUUUGCUCUUCCUUCAUCUUCUGCCAUGAUUGUGAGGCCUCCCCAGCCAUGUGGAACUGUGAGUCCAUUAAACCUCUUUCCUUUAUUAAUUACCCAGUCUUGGGUAUGUCUUUAUUAGCAGCAUGAGAAUGGACUAACACACAUAGACAUAGAGAUGCAAAUAAUAGACACUGGAAACCUCAAAAGGGAAAGUUGGGAGGGUGGCGAAGGUUGAAAAAAGAUCUACUGUGUGCAAUGUUCACUAUUUGGAUAAUGAGUAUACUAGAAGCUUAAUCUCUGCCAGUAUGUAAUAUACUCGUUUAACAAACAUGCCUUGUACCCCCUGAAUCUAAGAUAAAAUUUUAUUAAAAAAAAGAAAAGCCCUAAGAAAUUCACAGCCACACACAUCAUCAUCAAACUGCUAAAAGCUAAAGACAAGAAAAAAAAUUUUGAAGGUAGCCAGGGAAAAAUGGCACAUUACUUCCAUGGGGAAAUCAAUGAUUCAAGUGCCUGUUGAUUACUCAUAAAAAAUAAAAGGAUACCAGAAGGAGGUGGAACAUACUUAAGGUAUUUAAAAUAUUGGAAGAUUUUUGUUUUGUUUUGUAAAGUACAAUAAUUUAGGAGUUCUAUAUCUAGGGAUCAUCCAGGAAUAGAAGUACAAUAGGCUGGGUGCAGUGGCUCAUGCAUGUAAUCCCAACACUUUGGGAGGCCCGGGCAGGUGGAUCAUUUGAGGUCAGGAGUUUGAGACCAGCCUGGCCAAUAUGAUAAAACCCCAUCUCUACUAAAAAAUACAAAAAUUAGCCAGGGCGCAGUAGCUCACACCUGUAAUCCUAGCACUUUGGGAGGCCAAGGUGGGCGAAUCACCUGAAGUCAGGAGUCCAAGACCAGCAAGGCCAACAUGGCGAAACCCCGUCUCUAUUAAAAAUACAAAAAUUAGCCGGGCGGGGUAGCACGUGCCUGUAGUCGCAGCUACUCGGGAGGCUGAGACAGGAGAAUUGCUUGAGCCUGGGAGGUGGAGGUUGCCAUGAGCCAAGAUUGUGCCACUGCACUCCAGCCUGGCCAGAUAACAGAGCAAGACUCCAUCUCCAAAACAAACAAACAAAAAAAAAUUAGCCAAGAAAGGUGGCAUGCACCUGCAAUAUCAGCUACUCGGGAGGCUGAGGCAGGAGAAUCGUUUGAACCCAGAGGUGCAGAUUGCAGUGAGUCAAGAUCAUGGCACUGCACUCCAGCCUGGGCAACAAAGCGAGACUCCAUCUCAAAAAAAAAAACAAAGUACAAUAAAAGAAAUUCAGCAGGUGACGGAAAAAUAAAACAGUUUGUUCAAAAAAGAUUGGAAGAGAGCUCUUCUGAAAAAAUAGAAAUUAUUCCAAGAGGAAGCAGAAUACCAGAAAGGAAGGAAGAACAGAAAUGUCAAUUAUGUAGGUAAAUAUAAUAUUUACCUAAAUACCUAAAAAUAAAUAUUUACCUAAAUACUACCUAAAUACCUAAAAAUAAAUAUUUACCUAAAUACCUAAAAUUUACUAAAAAUAUUUUUGAGAGCUGAAAAAAAGUUAUAGUAUCGUCUCAUGGAAUUUUUUUAUCUAUCUAGAUAUAAUAAAUACUUAUACAAUAAAAGCAGGAGAAUAGAGAGGCCUGCAGGGCGAAAGAAUGUCUACAUCACAUCUGAAGUCGCAAAAUAGUCAUUCUAGGCAGACUAUAAAAAGUUGAGCACUUUUAUUGCAACUCCUAAAGUUAUCACUGAUAGAUAAAUACAGUUUAUUUUUUAAGGAAAGGGAAAAUAAUAUAGGUCAGAAAUUUGGAUCAAAAAGAAGAGCAUCAAAGAAGGAUUAAAUGAAGUACAACGUAAAUAUGAAAAGUAAUAUUGAUUAAAACACAUAAAAGAAUGGAAAAAGAUAAUACCAUAUGGACACUAAUCAAAAGAAAUCUAGAGUGGCUAUAUUAAUAUCACACAAAGUAAACUUCAGAGCAAAGAAAAUUGCCAAGUUAUAGAUGGAGAAAAACCUCAAUUCACUAACAUAAUAAUCCUAAAUGUUUAUGGUUUUGUUUUGUUUAUAGUUUUGUUUCUCUGGAGAACCUUGACUAAUACAACACAAAUUACUAAGUCUAGUUUCUUCCCAGAAUGCAAGGUUGUUUUCAUAUUAGAAUAUCAGUGAAAUACACAGUACUAACAGUUUAAUAAAGAAAAAAAUAUUUUAACAAUUGGGGCAGAAAAAAAUCAGCUGACAAAAUGUCAAGAUCAAUCAAUCAUUAAAAACUAUUAAUUAACUUGGAAUAAAAGGGAACUUCCUCAAACCUAAUGAAGUGCAUCUAUGAAAAACCUACAGCUAGCACCAUACUUAAUGGCAAAAGAUUGAAUGUGUUCCCAUUAACGAGAUGAAAAAAAUUCAAAAAUGUCUGCUGUCUACUUCCAUCCCUCCUAUUCAACAUUGUUCUAGAAGUUUUAACCAGUGUAGUAAGACAUAAAAAAUAAAUAAAAGGCUUUCAUAUUGGACAGCAAGAGAUUAAAGUGGCCUCAUUUGUAGACAACAUAAUUUAUCUCUACAGAAAAUUUCAAACAGUCUACUAAAAAACUUCUACCUAUAAUAAAUGAGUUUAGCAGAGUUUAACUUUAGCAAAAGUAUAAGUGCAAUAUAUACACAGUAUAUACACAACUGCAUGUCUAUAUUCUAGCAACGAACAAGUGAAAAUUGAAGUUUUUGAAAUACCAUUUGCUAUAGUUUCAAACAGAAUAAAAUACUAAGCUAUAAAACUAACAAAACGUGUACAGGAUCUGUAUGUUGAAAACUGUAAAACUGAUGAAAUAAAUCAACAAAGACCUUUUAAAAAAAAGAAAGACAUACUGUGUUAUGGAAAAUAAUAUUUAACCAAGAAAAUGCUGAUUAUUCCCAUAGAUUCAAUGCAAUUUCAUUCAAAAUCAAAACAGGAGCUUUUACAGACACUAGCAAAUGAAUUAUAAAAUUGGUAUGAAAAGGCAAAGAAAUGAGAAUAAUAAUUCAAAAAUGUAAAAAAGAAUAAUGAGGUUGUAGAACACAUAUUCUUCCAUUUUCAGGUGUACUAUAAUGCUUCAAUAAUCUUGAGAGGGUGGUCUUGGUGAAAGGAUAGAAAUAUAUAUCAAAAGAUCAGGAUAGAAAGUUGAGAGAUAGAUCCAUCCAAAUACAUAUGGCCAUUUUAGACAAGGGUACAAUAGGCAAUUCAAUGGAAAAAUGAUAAUGACUCUUCAACAAACAGCAUUAGACACUGGAGAUCUAGAAACUCCUAAAAUUGAAUUAUAUUAUAACAACCAAAACUAAUUCAUUAUAGGUUUGAUUGUAAUGACAGUUUGUGCCCUGCCAAAUAAAACAGCACAUUUUAAAAGUAUGUAUGUUUGUCUUAAAAGUUAAAAAAAAUUUUGCAUUGUAAAAAAAAAGUAUAAAUGUGUGUAUAUGUGUUUAUAUUCUUUUUUAGAUAAAAGCACCAGAAAUUUUAUUUGCCCAAUUUUCAAAUGGUACUUUAGUCCAAGGGAAAUUUUUUGUGAUUUUUGACUAAUGCAAUCAACUAUCCAAUGAAUGCAGGUAAUAAAGUGUACCCAUGGUCACGUUGUAUAGCUUUUAUCUAAAUCAUCAUGAUUUAGGCUGGGUUCAGUGGCUCAGGCCUGUAAUCUCAACACUUUGGGAGUCCGAGGCAAGCAAAAUCACCUGAGGUCAGGAGUUCAAGACCAGUCUGGCCAACUUGGUGAAACCCCAUCUCUACAAAAAUACAGAAAUUAGCCGUGCA
rnacentral:lncRNA from 1 species